UACGUAGGGUGCGAGCGUUGCCCGGAUUUAUUGGGCGUAAAGGGCGCGUAGGCGGCCACGCACGUCCGUUGUGAAAUCGCCCGGCUCAACUGGGCGGGGUCAGCGGAUACGGUGUGGCUAGAGCAAGCUAGGGGGCAAUGGAAUUCCCGGUGUAGAGGUGAAAUUCGUAGAUAUCGGGAGGAACACCAGUGGCGAAGGCGGCGAUCUGGGAAGAUACUGACGCGUGAGGUGCGAAAAGCGUGGGGAGCAAACAGG
rnacentral:rRNA from 1 species